rnacentral:rRNA from 1 species
CCUACGGGUCGCACCAGUGGGGAAUAUUGCACAAUGGGCGCGAGCCUGAUGCAGCUAUGCCGCGUGUAUGAAGAAGGCCUUCGGGUUGUAAAGUACUUUCAGCGGGGAGGAAGGUGUUGUGGUUAAUAACCGCAGCAAUUGACGUUACCCGCAGAAGAAGCACCGGCUAACUCCGUGCCAGCAGCCGCGGUAAUACGGAGGGUGCAAGCGUUAAUCGGAAUUACUGGGCGUAAAGCGCACGCAGGCGGUCUGUCAAGUCGGAUGUGAAAUCCCCGGGCUCAACCUGGGAACUGCAUUCGAAACUGGCAGGCUAGAGUCUUGUAGAGGGGGGUGGAAUUCCAGGUGUAGCGGUGAAAUGCGUAGAGAUCUGGAGGAAUACCGGUGGCGGAGGCGGCCCCCUGGACAAAGACUGACGCUCAGGUGCGAAAGCGUGGGGAGCGAACAGGAUUAGAUACCCGGGUAGUC